UACGUAGGGGGCAAGCGUUGUCCGGAUUCAUUGGGCGUAAAGAGCGUGUAGGCGGCCAUACAGGUCCGUUGUGAAAACUCGAGGCUCAACCUCGAGACGUCGAUGGAAACCGUAUGGCUAGAGUCCGGAAGAGGAGAGUGGAAUUCCUGGUGUAGCGGUGAAAUGCGCAGAUAUCAGGAAGAACACCCGUGGCGAAGGCGGCUCUCUGGGACGGUACUGACGCUGAGACGCGAAAGCGUGGGGAGCGAACAGG
rnacentral:rRNA from 1 species